GAGUGUUAAUUCACGCCACCACUAACUAGUAUUGAAAUUACGUGUUCAAAGAGAAUAAAUUGUUUGAAGGAAAGGCUUGGUGUGUCUGUAUCGGUUACGAUCAUUCAAUAAAUUUAAUCUAUUCCUCCCAGCCUGAGCAGAAUCAUAAUUCCCAUGCAGAAACAGAGUGUGUGACUUCUGAGAAUUCUCCAUUAUGGCUCAACAGGAACUUUUCAGACAGCCACAUAAGUCAGGAGUAGCCUUGCUUACUAGACAGAGGCCAAGUGAGGUCUGCUUCCUCAUCCAGGAUGAAGCAUUGGAUUGUGACACAUGGGGGUCAGUGAUAUUAACUCUCUUUCCCGUGAGAAAUAAUUCAUCAUCCAGCAUUUGCUAUUAAUGUGCCUCUGCUGAAAUCACAACUGACUUCAGUGAAAUUUCUGGAACCCAUCUGUCAUUUCAAAAUAUGCACUAUAGGGGAAACACAGUAGCACCAGAUCCAAUAUGGCAGUCAGCAGGAGGCUGAUGAAGGAGCUUGAAGAAAUCCCCAAAUGUGAAAUGAAAAACUUCCAUAACAUCCAGGUUUUAAUUUUCCUUAUGCAAGGGUCCACCAUAAGCAGCAAUAAAAGAAACAGAACAAACACUCCUGAAUCACUAGCUUCCGAGGUACUGAGUGGUGCUUUAUUGAUGGCAGGUGUAUGUGGCUUCCUGGAACAUGUUGUUUACGAAUAACGACAUCUUUCUGGCAUUAAGAGAGUGGAGGUAUGAAGAUAUCAUGGACUGACAUUAUUUGUUCAAAUGUUGCAGUGCAUUUCUCUUGCCUGAUGCCACUAGAAGCCUUACAAAGGAACAGAGCCUCAUCCAUGAUUUAGUUUCUGACCCCUAACAGUCUACUAUCCUGCCCCAGUCUGAGCCCCAAACCUCAAAAUUUGCUAUCUAUACUAAUUAAAAAGGUUCUUUUAUUCUACCAGGGGAUUGUUUGCCAGGUAAUCACUAUGACUUUAUGCUGGUACUUUGGAAUGGAGCAAGAAACUGCAUAGGUGGCCUCCUUGUACCAGCCCCUAAAACAGAGUUGGGCAGCCUGACCCAGCUUCUGGAUCAUUAGGUACAAAGAAUAGCAUCUUGUCUUGAGUAAAAUCAUUGCUUUUGAUUAAAAUACUCUGACAUACCUGUGGUUGAUGGAUGAUCUUGGAGCUUUUAAAGUUUGUUAGACUCUCUAAGGCAUUGAAAAGUGAGAGUGCUGUGUCUUACAUAGAAUAAAUGUUUCAUAAAUGUUUAUCAAAUUACUAAACCAGACUGAAUAACAUUUUAAAGAAAAUUCUUCAUGAGCUGUAGUAGUGGGCUAAAACCAGGCAGAUGAGGUUCAAUGGAAAUAAGCAUCAAGUCCUAUUCUGGUUGCCAUUUAUAACAAAAAAAAACCCUAUGUUUGUAUAGAUUUUUACAGACUACAGACCAUUUAUACCUAUUUAUUCCAUUUAAUGCCUACCAAAAAUAUCCACUUGACUAUAUUGCCAUUUUUUAGUUAAAUAUGAUAUAGACAUUAUAAGCAACUUGUCUGAAGUCAUACAUCUAGUGCAUUCCUGGUGGAAGUCAAGGUCCAUCUUCUGAUUUUGUGUUUCAGGCACUUCCUAAGAUAUAUUAAGGUUCCGCAUGCAUCUAAGAGACUUACCGUGUUCAGAUGGAGGGAGACUUGUCUUUAUUGAAAUACUUUUGGAAAGAAGUAGUUUUACUUACGUUCAUGAAAAUACAUCAUCUAGGACAAGAUGAACAGUCCCACUGAACCAUGUACUGGUCAAGAUCAUAUCUGGAGCACAUAUCUUAUUCUGAGUAUUACAUUGUAAGGUUUGAGAUUUAUGAAGGGUCAUAAAGUAGAGAACUGAGGAAAUUUGUUCUGGGGGUUAAAGUUCUGAAAACCACACCUUACAAGAAGCAAUAGAAAGAAUUAGGGAUAUUCAGCCUGGAGAUAGGGCGAGGUAAUGACAUGGGCAGGGAAAGUAUGCUUGUGUCUCCAAAAUCUGAAGCCUGCUAUCUCAGAGGUCUUAGAUCUGUAACUCCAGAGGCCAGAAUAGAAUUGCUAAAAAGGUUAUUUUAAAAUUCAUUUUGAAUAUUCAAUAUAAAGGAAAAUUUCAAGAGUAAAACUUACACAAGAAUUCAGUGCAUUUUCUUGUGAGAUAUAACUAAUCGAGCAAAAUGAGUAGACCAUUUGCUGUGGAUGACAUAUCACGAUUUUGUCAUUAGGUAGGAGGUUGAAAUAAAUGCUCUUUAAAGCCCUUUAUGAAGGCCUCUAAGAUUUUACAGUUUAACCUUUUUAAAAAAUAAUUAAGUUUGAACAGAGGAAAAAUACCCAUCUGUUCUCAUAACCUACAUUUGCUAGUGAUAUCUAGGUUUUGUUACUGCAAACCAUUGUACCCCCAGAAUUUAGCAGCUUAAAACAUGGAUCUUGUGAGUCUGGAUUAUGGAUAGUUCUCCAUAUUGUCAGCUAGAAGACUCAAUGUCUCAGUAGAGGGCAGGAGAGAACUUGGUAACUGGAGGCUGGAAUCUUCUAGAGUUGUGCCAUCCAAUAUAGCAGGUACUAAUGGUUUGUAGCUACUGGGUGCUUGAAAUGUGUCUGGUCUGAAUAGAAUUGUGCCCUAGAUUUAAAACACACACAAACACACAUCCACAAACACACACAGACAUGUAAACACA